rnacentral:tRNA from 1 species
GGGGCUAUAGCUCAAUUUGGGAGAGCGCCUGCCUUGCACGCAGGAGGUUAACGGUUCGAGCCCGUUUAGCUCCA